rnacentral:rRNA from 1 species
GAGUUUGAUCGUGGCUCAGGAUGAACGCUGGCGGCGUGCCUAACACAUGCAAGUCGAACGAAGCGAUUUUGCGGAAGUUUUCGGAUGGAAGCGGAAUUGACUGAGUGGCGGACGGGUGAGUAACGCGUGGAUAACCUGCCUCAUACAGGGGGAUAACAGUUAGAAAUGACUGCUAAUACCGCAUAAGCGCACGGGAACGCAUGUUUCGUGUGAAAAAGCCGAGACGGGUAUGAGAUGGGGUCCGCGUCUGAUUAGCUAGUUGGUGAGGUAACGGCCCACCAAGGCGACGAUCAGUAGCCGACCUGAGAGGGUGACCGGCCACAUU